ACGCUCGACACCUACGGAGGCAGCAGUGGGGAAUAUUGGGCAAUGGGCGCAAGCCUGACCCAGCAACGCCGCGUGAAGGAAGAAGGCUUUCGGGUUGUAAACUUCUUUUAUUAAGGACGAAACAAAUGACGGUACUUAAUGAAUAAGCUCCGGCUAACUACGUGCCAGCAGCCGCGGUAAUCUGAGCGGGCUGGCAAGGC
rnacentral:rRNA from 1 species